GACGAACGCUGGCGGCGUGCUUAACACAUGCAAGUCGUACGGUAAGGCCCUUUCGGGGGUCCACGAGUGGCGCACGGGUGAGUAACACGUGAGUAACCUGCCCACAACUUUGGGAUAACGCUAGGAAACUGGUGCUAAUACUGGAUAUGUGCUCCUGCUGCAUGGUGGGGGUUGGAAAGCUCCGGCGGUUGUGGAUGGACUCGCGGCCUAUCAGCUUGUUGGUGGGGUAGUGGCCUACCAAGGCGGCGACGGGUAGCCGGCCUGAGAGGGUGACCGGCCACAUUGGGACUGAGAUACGGCCCAGACUCCUACGGGAGGCAGCAGUGGGGAAUAUUGCACAAUGGGCGCAAGCCGGAUGCGGCAACGCCGCGGGCGGGAUGACGGCCUUCGGGUUGGAAACCGCUUUCAGCAGGGACGAAGCUUUUUGUGACGGUACCUGCAGAAGAAGCACCGGCUAACUACGUG
rnacentral:rRNA from 1 species